GGGUGUCUGCCAAGUGGUUCUGGCAUAGCCGGCAGGUGAUUUUGGCAUGUCCGGCAGGUGGUUCCGGUGAGUCGAGCAGGUGGUUCCUGCGUGCUCGGCAGGUGUCUCAGGCAUGUCCCACAGGUGGUUCUGGUCUGUCCAGGAGGAGGUUCCAGCAUGUCCGUCACGUGGUUGUGGCACAUCUGAGAGGUGGUUUCGGCAUAGCCGGCAGGUGAUUCUGGAGUGUCUGCUAAGUGGUUCUGUCGUAGCCGGCAGGUCAUUUUGGCAUGUCCGGCAUGUGGUUUCAGCACGUCGAACAGGUGGUUCCGGCGUGCUCGGCAGGUGGUUCAGGUGUGUCCAGCAGGUGGUUCCGGUCUGUCUGGGAGGUGGUUCCGGCAUGUAUGGCCCAUGGUUCUGGUACGUUUGAG
rnacentral:lncRNA from 1 species